UACGGAGGGUGCAAGCGUUAAUCGGAAUUACUGGGCGUAAAGCGCACGCAGGCGGUUGGAUAAGUUAGAUGUGAAAGCCCCGGGCUCAACCUGGGAAUUGCAUUUAAAACUGUCCAGCUAGAGUCUUGUAGAGGGGGGUAGAAUUCCAGGUGUAGCGGUGAAAUGCGUAGAGAUCUGGAGGAACACCGGUGGCGAAGGCGAGUCUCUGGGAUGAUGCUGACGCUGAGGCGCGAAAGCCAGGGGAGCAAACGGG
rnacentral:rRNA from 1 species